rnacentral:piRNA from 1 species
UCUUGGACUUCAGCAUUGUAAUUGAUACCC